CAAAAGUCGUGCACGCCGGAGCACGUCCUCUCUCUCACAUAAAAUCCAUCUCACCCUUUUGUGCACCACCGCGCGGGCACCCUUUGGGAUGCUUGCGUUUUCACACAAACCCCUUUUAAAAAAGUGUAGAAUGACCCCACUUUGCGAUGACACGCAAUCAAUACAACUUUCAACAACGGAUCUCUUGGCUCUCGCAUCGAUGAAGAACGCAGCGAAAUGCGAUACGUAAUGUGAAUUGCAGAAUUCAGUGAAUCAUCGAAUCUUUGAACGCACCUUGCGCCCCUUGGUAUUCCGAGGGGCACACCCGUUUGAGUGUCGUGAAAAUCUCAACCUUCUCGGUUUUCUUCUGGACACCGAAGGAGGCUUGGACUUUGGAGGCCUUUGCUGGCGUCUCUCUAGAGCCAGCUCCUCUUAAAUGAAUUAGCGGGGUCCUCUUUGCCGAUCCUUGACAUGUGAUAAGAUGUUUCCAUGACUCGGUUUCUGGCUCUGUUGCAUUUGGGACCUGCUUCUAACCGUCUCGACGAGACGAUGUUUGGGAGUGUCUCCCUUCUCGGGAGACCUCUCUCGACCCCACGAACC
rnacentral:rRNA from 1 species